rnacentral:lncRNA from 1 species
CGGAGUCCCGAGAAAAAGUGUCUUUCGGUUUCGAAACGCUGCUCCAAAUAAAGUUCCGGUUUUCUUUAAAAUCCGCUGUAAGUGAGCUACGCUUAUGCAAAUUUUAAUAUAGCUUUCAAAUAAUUAUAGUAAUGUUAUUAGGUCCUUAAAAUAAUUAUUUGAUCUAUUAUUAUGAGUUAUAUUGAGUUUCAUUUAACGCUUAUAUAAUAAUAAUAAUAAUAGUCAGACUAUUAAUUUGUCGCGGUUAUCGUUAGACUAAACCCUAGUGGUAUUGGUACUAGAUUUUAUCGAAGGAAAAUUGUUUUGAGAGUAUCGAAGCGUUGUCCGAGUUCUGAGUCACCACCUUUCAAGUGAGUGCAUAGUUACUUUCAGCUUACACAUAGAUAUGAAGUAUUUUAUAUAAAUUACGUGCUAUGUGUGCAUAUUAUCUGAAUACUUGCUAUCUAUGCUGGAUGAACAUUUUUAUACAUGUUUUCAAUGAUUUAAACUGUAUAUGUAUUUUAUAUCUAUGAAAAUGUUGGGGUAAAACAUGGGUAGAUGUAAUAGGUGAUGUGUGAUAAAAUGAUGAGAGGCCUCGAUGUUGAUGUUGUUGAUUCUGUCAUCUAGCGGAGUAUGGAUGACGACCACAGACUCUUCUAGACAGUCCAGUGGAACACUAGCAGGCUCGCAACCUGUAGGUGUUUGUGAACGAUGUGUUCACCGGUGUACUCCAUCCCCCACAUGGUUUCCUUUGGGAUAUUUAUUGUUGAGGAACCCCCUUAGCAAUAGUGUCCAUCCCGAUGAUGAUCCUUAGGCUAGGUCCCUUAUGAUAGGUGUUUAGGGACAUAAAGUGAGGAUAACGGGAACAGGUAAUCGGGUUAUUGUUGAUUGAUGAAAUUAAUAAACUUAUUUAUUGUGACAUCCCCAUUUUCCACGGCCAGAAAAGAUCGAUUUUGUUUAUGCUUUAUAAAAAUCAGAGUACUUCAUUUUAUAAAAAUGUCGCGGAAUUUGUUCCCAGAAAAACACAAUAAAUACGUUAUUAAAACAUUUGCGAAGAAACGUAUUUUAUUUAUUUUAAAACAUUUGGGAUGUCAUUGUCAAUACAGAAACAUAAGCAUAAACAGAACUUACAUUUAUUUACACUAGUGAUCUACAUCUCUUUAAUCUCUCAGUGUAAUGUGACUUCAUAUCAACACCUGUGAUAUAAAUAAACUGAGUGGGUCAGGUUGGGAAACCUGGUGAGUACAUAGGGUUUUCAACCCACAAUAAUAUAAUUAUUAUGUUUAAACAAUCAAUCAAUUAAACCCAAUUACCCAUCCCCAUUAUCUUCUUUACUCUUAAGGAUCUACCCUAAGAAUCAGCUAUUUCUCGUUCAUUCAUUCCUAAGGAUUAUCCUAAGGAAUCGGCACGAAGUCCAUCGUUACCAAAGCUUAUAGAUUACAACUGGUGAACACNAAAUCCGAGUUAUAACGAAGAAGUUAUGACCCGUCGAAGUUUCACGACAGAACCGGCACGAUACCGGGAAGCGUGAAUAGUGAAUUUACGAUAGAGCGAGAUUUAGCCUUAGUGAUCUAAACGAAAGUCGUAGAAUAUGUUAAACUAAGAACAUCGAUAAAAAGAACGCCCAAAUCUGACUUCGUAUGAAGAAGUUAUGAGAUUUUAAACAGACCAAUCCUGUCCCGGCUUGUUAAAAAUAUAACUUUAAAAAUAAAGUCAAAAUUAGCCGACGGAGUCUAAACGAAAGUUGUAGAGUACGUCUUCACCUACGCGUGGAUAUAAAGAACGUCAAAAACGGAGUUCGUAUGAACGAGUUACAAAUUAUAAUAGCAUAUUUACGUAUUAAAAUAAAGUAUAAAUCAUGUAUACGUACACAUAUAUAUACAUAUGUAUAUAUCAUUAGAAAGGUAUCGACGAUGCGGUCAUUAUAAGACUAAUGUUGAGUUCUUUCGACAUUAGUUUAGUACAAAUAUCAUUAAAUCCAUUUAUAAUAGUAUUAUAGAGGGGUGUUUAGUUGUUUAUAUAACUAAAAGGUCAUUAAGUAAUUAUGGAGGGUAGUUUUUGAAAAUUCAAUUAGUAUAAAUAAGAGCCUUGGGCUCUCAUAUUUCUUGCACCAUUCUCUUGAUUCAAGAGUCUUUCUCUCCUUAUCCCCCGAGCAUUUCGGUCCCUCGUGAUUCGACUUCUCUUUCUGUAGCUUAGUAUAGUAAGGUGAGCGCUGAAGCGCUGCACGAAUCUUUCUUAGAAAGAUUCAGCGACGAAGUUCUGCCCCUGCAGAGCCCGACUCCUAGCUAAAACCCCCUUGUAAGUAAGUUAUGCUUACCUUAUUUUAAUAUAGCUUAUAUUUAAAAUUAGUAUUGUUAUUAUGAACUUAUAAUAAAUAUUUGAGCUAUUAUUAUAACUUAUAUAAGUGUCGUUAUAAUAUUUUUUUUAACUACUCGCGGUACGGGGAAUCUGGUUUAAAGGGCCGCAUAGGGUUGUUGGAUUUCAGAAGUGCUAUAUGCCAAAAUGGUCCUGCCCUCCGGUGUUUUAUGUCUGGCCCCUGUCUGUACAUAGUGGUUGGAAAAUAUUGUUUAACGCUUAUAUAAUAAUAAUAAUACUAAGACUAAUAGUUGGUCACGGUAAAUAUUAGACUAAAAUUUAGCGAUAAUAAUGCUAGGUUUCGUCGAAGGAAAAUAGAAUCGUUAGAAGCAAGCGCUGCCCGAUUUUGGAAUCAUCACCUUAACAAGUGAGUGCAUAGUUACUUUCAACUUACACAUAGAUAUGAAGUAUUUUAUAUAAAUUACGUGCUAUGUGUGCAUAUUAUCUGAAUACUUGCUAUCUAUGCUAGAUGAACGUUGUUAUACAUGUUUUCAAUGAUUUAAACUGUAUAUGUAUUUUAUAUCUACGAAAAUGUUGGGGUAAAACAUGGGUAGAUGCAAUAGGUGAUGUGUGAUAAAAUGAUGAGAGGCCUCGAUGUUGAUGUUGUUGAUUCUGUCAUCUAGCGGAGUAUGGAUGACGACCACGGACUCUUCUAGACAGUCCAGUGGAACACUAGCAGGCUCGCAACCUGUAGGUGUUUGUGAACGAUAUGUUCACCGGUGUACUCCAUCCCCCACAUGGUUGCCUUUAGGACAUUUAUUGCUGAGGAAUCCCCUUAGCAGUAGUGUCCGUCCCGAUGAUGAUCCUUAGGCUAGGUCCCUUAUGAUAGGUGUUUAGGGACGUAAAGUGAGGAUAACGGGAACGGGUAAUCGGGUUAUUGUUGAUUGAUGAAAUUAAUAAACUUAUUUAUUGUGGGUUGAAAACCCUAUGUGCUCACCAGGCUCCCAAGCCUGACCCACUCAGUUUUAUGUAUUACAGGUAGUGGCGCAUGAGCAUAGGUGUGAUGUUUUGGACGAGGGAUUACGGAUAUAGGCCUGUAGAUAUGAAAUAAUGUAGUAAGGCUUAUAUUGUACUGUUUAUGCUUUUGAUCUGUACGAACAUGACAUCCCGAGUCUUUUAAUGAAAUACAUUUCUAUGGAAAUGCUUUUGAUAAAUCUUUAUCAUAUUUUUGUUUUGGGACAAAUUCCGCAACACUUUCAUUUAAAAUGUAACUCUGAUUUUUAAACAAAGCAUAAACAAACCGGUCUUUUCUGGCCGUGAUUUUGGGGAUGUCACAGUUGGUAUCAGAGCAUUAGUUUAAGCGAACUAGGAAUUUGUAGGAUUUCUAGACUUAAACUUAGAAUGCUAAGCGAUGAUUGUGAGGUGUGAGCACUAGCUUAUUUUAGGAAUUGUGCCUAAAAUGCUUUUAUGUGCUAAAUGCUUUGUGCAUGAUAUGCUGUUGUUUGUUCGGAUCUGUGGUCUGUUGCCGACCGGAUCUGGAAAACUUAUGUGUUUAGGAUUCUAAACGUACGACUACGAUAUUAGAACUAGCAUGUAAACGUUUCGGAGUGAUAAGGAUAAUUUAAACGUCUAUCCUAAAUAAAGAUCUAAAUUCACCUUAUUCGGUGUAUAGAUCAAGAUGGCAAGGACCCGUAGCGGAAACAUAAACGCAAAUGGAGAUAGGAACCAACCCCCUGUGGUUCAGCAAAUACCUGUUGUAGAAGAAGUUGCACCUGAGCCAAUCUCCAUGGCUGGAGUACAAGCCAUGAUUCGGGCUAUGCUAGCGGAACAAAGGGAAGAAAUGAGACAGAUGUUCCACGAAAAUAGGGAUGGACCUACCAUACAUGUUGAACCGACGGAGCCAAUUUCCAAACAAUCUAAGGAAGGGAACUAUAGCCGCCAAGUGAGUCAAGUAGGGACUCAAGGUGAGAAAUGGGAUGGCUCAGAAGGGAGAAACAACAAGGAUGGGCGGAUAUACAAGAAUUUCUUGGGUGCGAAACCACCAAGUCUCUCAAGAAGCCCAAAGCCUGUUGAGAUUAUUGAUUGGAUCUCCGAGAUGGAGAUGGUGUUUGAGAGCUGCGACUGCAGCGAGAAGAAGAAGACUGUCUUCGCUGUGAGACAAUUGAAAACUGGAGUCUUGAGCUGGUGGAAGCUAUUGGCGGAUACAAGGUUGUGAGGAGAAGCUCUGAAAAUGUCAUGGGAUGAGUUCUUGGAACAAUUGAAGGCACAAUACUGUUCAGAGUCUGAUUCAUCUUAACAAUGAGUUCCAAAACUUGAAGAAAGGAAGAAUGAGCAUCGACGACUAUGUUGCUACAUUCACAGAAAAGAUGAAGUGGUUUCCAUACUUAGUGCCAACCGAACUUUCCAAAAUUGAGAAGUCCGCAAACGGACUGCCAACCGACUAUGGCCCAUUAGUCAAGAUGGCAACCACUCUAAAAUCAGCUGUUUGAGCGGCUAAGAAUGUGCAGACCCAACAAAAGGAAAGAGGUCUGGAAAGGGCUGACGUUGGUGAGAAACGGAAGUUUGAUGGAUCCUCGAAGAACAACAAGAAGAGUAGAUUCUCAAAGUCUGGUUUGAGAGGAGGAGGAUCAGAAGCGAAGUGGUGUGACAAGUGCAGACAGAGGGGUCACAUGUUUCAAAUGUGGAAAGCCUGGGAACUAUGCCAAUGAAUACACCCUUACCCAGAAGGCCGAUUAUGGGUGUAAUGUAGAAGGGCACGUUUUGAGGGACUGUCCAAAGAAGAAGGAGGCAGGAAGACCCAACAUUCCACCGAAGCCGAAGGCGAGAGCCUUCCAGAUGACGCUUGAGGCUACAAAGGAGGCCGCAGACGUCGCUUUAGGUACCUUUCUUGUAAAUGCUUUACUUGUCAGCAUACUGUUUGAUUCGGGAGCAAAUUACUCAUUUGUAUCCCAUAAGUUUGGCGGAAAAUUAGCAUUGCCUGUAGAGAAACUUGAUAAUGCCCUGAUUGUAGAAGUUGCUAGUGGCAAAUUCGUACCUGUUAGUAACCGUAUUAGGAACAUCGUCAUCGACCUGAACGGAAACGAAUUCCGUGAAGAGCUAUUACCCAUAGAGUUAAACGGUUUCGACAUCAUUUUGGGUAUGGAUUGGCUAAGCGCCAACGAUGCUGAGAUUCAAUGUCGAAAGAAGAUAGUAAGGGUAAACCCACCUGGAAAAGAAUCAUUUAUGGUGUACGGGGACAAACACUGAGUGAAUUCUGGAAUCAUCACCUUGAUGAAAGCCAGGAAAUGUGUGUCCAAGGGAUGUGCAUCAUACUUGGCAUUCGUGAUCGAUGCUAAGAAGGAAAAGAAAGAGGUGCAGAAUAUACCGAUUGUAUGUGAUUAUCCGGAAGUCUUUCCCGAAGAUCUUCCCGGGUUACCAUCUGAUAGGCAAGUGGAGUUUCAUAUAGACUUGUUACCAGGAACAACACCGAUAGCAAAGAGACCUUACCGAUUAGCACCGACGGAGAUCAAGGAGCUUAUGACGCAACUUCUGGAGCUGUUGGACAACAGUUUCAUUCGACCUAGUUCAUCACCCUGGGGAGCUCCGGUGUUAUUCAUGAAGAAGAAGGACUGAAGCAUGAGAAUGUGUAUAGACUACCGAGAGCUGAACAAGGCAACGAUGAAGAACACGUAUCCAUUGCCAAGGAUUGACGACCUAUUCGAUCAGCUACAAGGUUCGAGCUACUUCUCAAAGAUCGAUCUUAGGUCAGGAUAUCAUCAGCUGAAAGUGAGAGAUCAGGAUAUUGAGAAGACUGCAUUCAGAACGAGAUAUGGACACUACGAGUUCUUGGUUAUGUCGUUUGGACUAACCAAUGCUCCAGCAGCAUUCAUGGAUUUGAUGAAUAGGUUUUGUAAACCAUUCCUCGAUAAAUCUGUGAUAGUGUUCAUCGACGACAUUCUGAUCUACUCGAAAAGCCAAGAGGAGCAUGGUAAGCAUCUAUGGGAAGUGUUAAAGAAGGAGAAGCUUUACGCUAAGUUCUCCAAGUGUGAUUUUUGGAUCCGAGAAGUCCAAUUCUUGGGUCAUGUGGUUAAGAAGGAGGGAAUAAUGGUUGACCCCGCAAAAAUCGAAGCUGUAAUGAAGUGGGAACGUCCAAAGAGUCCCACAGAGAUUCGGAGCUUUCUAGGAUUAGCCGGAUAUUACCGACGAUUUAUCCAAGGCUUUUCUUCGAUAGCCUCUUCAUUGACAGCUUUGACCCAUAAAGGAACAACAUAUACGUGGAGUGAGAAACACGAUGAGGCAUUCGAGAAGCUAAAGAAGAAGUUAUGUGAAGCACCGAUACUUUCUCUACCCGAUGGAGUUGAAGACUUCGCGGUAUACAGUGACACAUCUGGAGUCGUGUUGGGUUGUGUUCUGACCCAAAGAGAAAAGGUGAGAGCAUAUGUCUCUCGACAAUUGAAAGAGCACGAAAAGAACUACCCUACUCAUGAUCUAGAGUUGGCGGCGGUAGUAUUUGCCUUAAAGAUAUAAAGACAUUACCUCUAUGGCACGAAGUGCAAACUUUUCACUGAUCAUAAGAGUCUCCAGUAUCUCUUUAAUUAGAAAGAAUUGAACAUGAGGCAACGACGCUGGCUAGAAGUACUCAAGGACUAUGACUAUGAGAUACUUUACCACCCUGGUAAAGCAAUUGUUGUUGCUGAUGCUCUCAGUCGGAAAGUCAACCUUGAAAGGAAAAGGCCAGGAGCAUUGAGAAUUGAAGUCGUCUCGACAAUUGUGGAAAGUAUCAAGAAAGCCCAAUAAGAAGCUUUAGAGAAGAAUGACCGAAAGGAAGAACGUUUGGGCAAAACGUUAGUGUUCGGUACAAACAGUCAAGGACUGAAGGUAUUCCAAGAUCGGAUUUGGGUACCUAAGACAGGAGGAAUAAGAGAUAUUCUGAUGGAAGAAGCACACAAGACCAUGUACUUGAUUCAUCCUGGUAGCACUAAAAUGUAUAAGGACCUAAAACCCUACUACUGGUGGCCAACGAUGAAGCUCGAUGUAGCGAAGUAUGUGGCCGAGUGCGUGACAUGUGCAAGAGUUAAGGCACAAUAUCAGAAACCGUAUGGGAGUUUAGAACCUUUACCUGUACCCAUGGGUAAAUGGGAAGACAUCACCAUGGAUUUUGUGACUAAACUGCCCAGGACGAAGAAUGGACACAACAUGAUUUGGGUUGUCGUGGAUUGUUUCACAAAGAAUGCACACUUCAUUGCAGCCAACGAGAAGUGGUAUAUGGAUAAGCUCGUAAAUGCUUACGUGAAGGAAAUUAUAAGUCUUCACGGUGUUCCUCUUACAAUCGUGUUAGAUCGUGAUAGUCGUUUCACGUCGAGGUUUUGGAGGAGUCUACAAGAGGAGUUGGGUACAAAGUUGUGUUUGAGUACUGCUUACCAUCCGCAAACUGAUGGUCAGAGCGAAAGAACGAUUCAAACACUGGAAGAUAUGCUGAGAGCAUGUACCCUCGAGUUCCAAGGGAACUGGGACGAGCACUUACCUCUGGUAGAAUUCUCCUAUAACAACAGUUUCCAAUCGAGCAUCAAGGAUGGCACCUUAUCAAGCCUUGUAUGGACAGAAAUUUCGUACACCGUCUUGUUGGCUUGAAGCCGGAGAGAAGCAGUUUAUGGGCCCCGUGAUAGUCCAUGAGGAUGCUGAGAAGUUGAAGGUGAUUAGGGAAAGAAUGUUAGCAGCUCAGGNAAGUCUCACUGUGGAAGGGACUUAUACGAUUCGGGAAACGUGGAAAGCUGAGUCUAGGGUUCAUUGGACCAUUCAAAGUUCUUCAGAAGAUUGGGAACCAAGCUUACAAGCUCGAAUUACCUGAAGAACUCGAUGGUAUACAUAACAGCUUCCAUGUGUGUUAUCUGAGGAAAUUCACAGGAGAACUUCCCGACAUAAUUCCAAUCUCAGAGUUAAGGAUGGAUGAGAAUAAGAGGCUGAUCGAAGAGCCUCAAUCAAUUGCUGACCGUAAGACUAAGAAGUUACGACGCAAGAUGGUCGACUUAGUGCUAGUCCGAUGGAAACAUUCAAAUGGGCUGAAUCUCACUUGGGAAACAGAGGUUGACAUGAUAAGUCGCUAUCCACAUCUGUUUGCUGAUGCAUGAUUCUGGAAUGGGAUCAUCCUAAGGGGGAGAGACUUGUAACGCUCGGGUUUCAGGGCUAAGCAUUUUUAAACAAUGUAAUAGUCUAGUUUAACUCUUGUAACUCUUUUUGAAGUAAUAAAGAUGAAAUAUUUGAUUAUUAUGUGAAUUAUGUGUAUUUAUGUGCUUAUUAUUUAAUUAUAAAUGUAUAAUUAAAAAAGAAUAAAAAUAAGCGUCAAAAUUAAAGUGUGAGAUAAGCCAGAUAUAUUUAUAUAAAGUUGUAGUGGCGGAAACAAGGAUUCCAGGGAUAUAAAGAACGCCGGAAUCCGAGUUAUAACGAAGAAGUUAUGACGCGUCGAAGUUUCGCGAAAGAACCGCCACAAUACCGGGAAGCGUAAAUAGUGAAUUUACGAUAGAGUGAGAUUUAGCCUUAGCGAUCUAAACGAAAGUCGUAGAAUGCGUUAAACUGAGAGUGUCCAUAAAAAGAACGCCCAAAUCUGACUUCGUAUCAAGAAGUUAUGAUUUUUUUGAAGUUUCAGCUUAGUAGUGUACAACCUGAAAUUCGAAUAUUAGAUCGAGCGGUUUUUAGCCGACACAACCUAAAAGAGAAUCGAAGAUCUCGUUAAGAGUAGCAUAACAAGAAAAAGAUGGGUGAAAACGGACAUCGGAUGAAGAAGUUAUGAGAAUUUAACGGACCAAUCCUGUCCCGGCCUGCUAAUAAUACAACUUUUAAAAUAUAGUCAAAAUUAGCUGACGGAGUCUAAACGAAAGUUGUAGAGUACAUUCCAAACUUUGCGUGGAUAUAAAGAACGUCGAAAACGGAGCUCGUAUGUGAAAGUUAUGAAUUUUAGAAGUCGGGAAGCAAAAUUGCGAAGUCUGUUGCUAAAUCGAUGACGUGGCUGCACCUGAGCCGUUGCUUGUUGACCAUGAUGCUCGCUUCGGAUGAUGAAAUGUCGCUUCGCUACGCCCCGCGUCCGAGGACAAGUACACCCCGCGGACUCCGGUAGCCAAGGACUACGCCCAGCGUAGUCCAAGGCCUCGCAGACUAUAAAAGGCAGCGAGGGCAGCCUCAUUCUUCACCCAUUUUCACUUCUCUCUCUCUACAAUUUCUCUCUCUAAGUUCCCUAAGCCUCCCAAAACCCUUGGUAAACCCCCUUAGCCCCCGAGGGAAUCCCUGAGGCUCCCGGAGUCCCGAGAAAAAGUGUCUUUCGGUUUCAAAACACUGCUCCAAAUAAAGUUUCAAUUUCUUUAAAAUCCGCUGCAAGUGAGCUACGCUUAUGCAAAUUUUAAUAUAGCUUUCAAAUAAUUAUAGUAAUGUUAUUAGGUCCUUAAAAUAGUUAUUUAGGCUAUUAUUAUGAGUUAUAUUGAGUGUCAUUUAACGCUUAUAUAAUAAUAAUAAUAGUCAGACUAUUAAUUUGUCGCGGUUUUCGUAAGACUAAACCCUAGUGGUAUUGGUACUAGGUUUUAUCGAAGAAAAAUUGAUUUGAGAGUAUCGAAGCACUGUCUGAGUGCUGAGUCACCACCUUUCAGGUGAUUGCAUCGUUACUUUCAGCCUACACAUAGAUAUGAAGUAUUUUAUAUAAAUUACGUGCUAUGUGUGCAUAUUAUUUGAAUACUUGUUAUCUAUGAUGGAUGAACGUUUUUAUACAUGUUUUCAAUGAUUUAAACUGCAUAUGUAUUUUAUAUCUACGAAAAUGUUGGGGUAAAACAUGGGUAGAUGUAAUAGGUGAUGUGUGAUAAAAUGAUGAGAGGCCUCGAUGUUGAUGUUGUUGAUUCUGUCAUCUAGUGGAGUAUGGAUGACGACCACAGACUCUUCUAGGCAGUCUAGUGGAACACUAGCAGGCUUGCAAUCUAUAGGUGUUUGUGAACGAUGUGUUCACCAGUGUACUCCAUCCCCCACAUGGUUGCCUUUAGGAC